UAGGGAAUCUUCGGCAAUGGGGGGAACCCUGACCGAGCAACGCCGCGUGAGUGAAGAAGGUUUUCGGAUCGUAAAGCUCUGUUGUUAAGGAAGAACGAGUGUGAGAAUGGAAAGUUCAUACUGUGACGGUACUUAACCAGAAAGGGACGGCUAACUACGUGCCAGCAGCCGCGGUAAUACGUAGGUCCCGAGCGUUGUCCGGAUUUAUUGGGCGUAAAGCGAGCGCAGGCGGUUAGAUAAGUCUGAAGUUAAAGGCAGUGGCUCAACCAUUGUAGGCUUUGGAAACUGUUUAACUUGAGUGCAGAAGGGGAGAGUGGAAUUCCAUGUGUAGCGGUGAAAUGCGUAUAUAUGGAGGAACACCGGUGGCGAAAGCGGCUCUCUGGUCUGUAACUGACGCUGAGGCUCGAAAGCGUGGGGAGCGAACAGG
rnacentral:rRNA from 1 species